CCUACGGGAGGCAGCAGUGGGGAAUAUCGCACAAUGGGCGCAAGCCUGAUGCAGCCAUGCCGCGUGUAUGAAGAAGGCCUUCGGGUUGUAGAGUACUUUCAGCGAGGAGGAAGGCAUCAAGGUUAAUAACCUUGGUGAUUGACGUUACUCGCAGAAGAAGCACCGGCUAACUCCGUGCCAGCAGCCGCGGUAAUACGGAGGGUGCAAGCGUUAAUCGGAAUUACUGGGCGUAAAGCGCACGCAGGCGGUCUGUCAAGUCGGAUGUGAAAUCCCCGGGCUCAACCUGGGAACUGCAUUCGAAACUGGCAGGCUAGAGUCUUGUAGAGGGGGGUAGAAUCCCAGGUGUAGCGGUGAAAUGCGUAGAGAUCUGGAGGAAUACCGGUGGCGAAGGCGGCCCCCUGGACAAAGACUGACGCUCAGGUGCGAAAGCGUGGGGAGCAAACAGGAUUAGAUACCCGUGUAGUC
rnacentral:rRNA from 1 species